CCGUGCCCGCGCAAGGACGGCGACACCGACGACAAAGCAGGAGUGAAAUGCAGGAAGGACAAUGCGGACACCCGCUGCCGGGGGGAAGGGCGAGAACCUGCUCCUUCCCGCCUGGGUACAGACCCACGUCAGGGCCAACAGGUGUCCCGCGGGCCGGGGCAGCAGCAGUCCCCCGGUACCUCGGGAACCGUGUUCCGCCGCCCGCCCGCCCCAGCGCCCCUGCCCGGGGAGCGGCCCCACCGCUCCCCGCCCGGCCCCGCUGGACCGGCCUGGCGGGAGGGGGAGGCCGGGGGAGGUGGGAGGGGACGUGGGAAGGACUCCGAUUGCCACUACAAAUCUGGUGACAGACCCGCCACGGGCACAUGGCGAUGGGCAGUUGCAGAUUGAAAUAUCAUGGACAGAAAACAGUUUGGAUGAUGUGUUUUGCCAGCAUAUCUCUGCAGUUUCAGUUUUAACAAUGGAUAAGUGUAAGCACGUAGGACGUCUGCGACUGGCCCAAGAUCACUCCAUUCUCAAUCCACAGAAAUGGCAUUGCAUGGACUGCAAUACUACGGAAUCUGUGUGGGCGUGCCUUAGCUGCUCACAUGUGGCAUGUGGAAGAUACAUCGAAGAACAUGCACUAAAGCACUUUCAGGAGAGCAGGCACCCCGUGGCAUUGGAAGUAAAUGAUCUGUAUGUUUUCUGUUAUCUCUGCGAUGAUUACGUUCUCAAUGAUAACGCAACUGGUGAUUUAAAGCUGUUGCGGAGUACGUUAAGUGCAAUCAAGAGUCAAAACUAUGAAUGCACUACUCGGAGCGGGAGGACUUUGCGUUCUAUGGGUGCAAGUGAUGAUUCCUACCUUUCACAUGGUGGUGCCCAAGCCACGCUUCGGAAUGAAGAUCGAAUGUUCACAGCUCUCUGGCACCGACGGCGUGCGUUCCUUGGCAAAAUAUUCAGAUCGUGGCUUGAGUUGACACCUACUGGAAAAAGGAUUUUGGAAGAAGAAAGACAUCGGGAAGAAGCAGAGGAAAAAAAGGACAAAGCUAGGAAGAGAAGACAAGAACGAAAACGUGAGUUGAAAGCAGAGAUGGAAAAGAUGCCUCCAAGAAAGAGCAGUCGUUUACAAAAUCAGAUUAGAAUGUCUUCAAAAACAGAAUCCUGCCCUCAAAAAGCAUCACAGAACAUGGAAUCCGUGGCAGAGUUGAAAGAGACAUAUACCUCAGAUGAAUUGAGAUUGAAAAAAAUAAGUGACUCUCCAAUUAAACGAAGGCCCACAGUGACUCCUGGGGUAACAGGACUGAGAAACCUGGGAAAUACAUGCUAUAUGAAUUCUGUCCUGCAGGUAUUAAGUCACUUACUUAUUUUUCGAGAGUGCUUUUUAAAGCUUGAUCUCAACCAAACUCAGGAACUGCUGGCAACAGCAACCAAUGGUAAAACAAGGUCUUCAUCUAAACACCCGUCAAUAGCUGCCUCAGCAUUACAUGUGAAUGAGAACCAAGAGAAAGUAAAGGGAUCGCAUUCUGGGAGGCGGCCUAGUUUAUCCUCUGGAUUAAGUGGAGGAGCAUCAAAAAGUAUGGAACUCAUUCAGCCCAGGGAGCCCAGUUCAAAGCAUAUUUCUCUCUGUCAUGAGCUGCAUACUCUGUUCCAGGUUAUGUGGUCUGGCAAAUGGGCACUGGUGUCUCCUUUUGCCAUGCUUCAUUCUGUGUGGAGACUAAUUCCAGCCUUCAGAGGAUAUGCCCAACAAGAUGCUCAGGAAUUUCUCUGUGAACUUUUGGAUAAAGUACAGCAGGAACUGGAGACUACAGGGACCAGAUACCCAGCUCUUAUCCCUGCUUCUCAAAGAAAACUUAUAAAACAGGUUUUGAAUGUGGUUAACAACAUUUUUCAUGGACAGCUAUUGAGUCAGGUUACAUGUCUUGCCUGUGACAAUAAAUCAAAUACCAUAGAACCUUUCUGGGACCUGUCCCUGGAGUUUCCCGAGAGGUACCACUGCAACGGCAAGGAGAUGAUAUCGUCUCAGUAUCCAUGUCUGCUGACAGAAAUGCUGGCCAAGUUUACAGAAACUGAAGCUUUGGAAGGAAAGAUAUAUGCAUGUGAUCAGUGCAACAGUGAGUAAAGGCACAAAACGAAGGAAGUUUUCUUCUAAACCAGUUAUACUCACAGAAGCUCAGAAGCAGCUUAUGGUGUGUCGACUACCUCAGGUUCUCAGAUUACACCUUAAACGGUUUAGGUGGUCGGGACGCAAUCAUCGUGAGAAGAUUGGCGUACAUGUUAGUUUUGACCAAAUACUAAACAUGGAGCCUUAUUGCUGCAGAGAAUCCCUCAAGUCUCUCCGGCCUGACUGCUUCAUCUACGACUUGUCUGCUGUGGUAAUGCAUCACGGGAAAGGAUUUGGCUCAGGGCACUACACUGCCUACUGCUACAAUUCAGAAGGAGGAUUUUGGGUACACUGCAAUGAUUCCAAACUCAACAUGUGCACUAUGGAAGAAGUAUGCAAGGCUCAAGCCUACAUUUUGUUUUACAGUCAACGACUUACUCAGGCAAAUGGACAUGGUAAAGUACCAUGUCCUAGCACAGCUGAAAGUCAGCAGCACACAGAAUUAGCUGGCUGUUCCAUGGACAACAGUAGCAGCUAAUCCAAAGCCAGUUAACUGUGUGUAUGGUAAAGGUUUGAAUUGUCGUAACUAUGUAUUUGUAAUGAAAGUACAAUAUUGUACUUUUUCAAUGUUUAUAUACUUUUGUAUUAGUUGAAGUACUCUUUACAAUGGUUAGUAAAAGGUUUAUUGACAGUAAGUAACUUUGUAAGUACCUAGAAUUUCAAUACAGCUAUUUUUUUAAGGAAAAGAUUGCUAUGUGCAUUUAACUUUUACCUCAGGCUAUUUUUUUAAGCUGGUUUUGUAUUUUGAUAAUAUUUUUGAAUUGGUUUAGAAAAGUUACUUUCAAUGGACAACUGAUAUUUCUCUGGUUAAUUUUCUGUAUAUGCUUGUGUACAUUUUAUAGUAUAGUUCUAAUGAUACCGUGAUUCUUACUGUCUUGCAGGAAUUGCUACUAGCUCUUAGAAUACUGACAUUCACCAGCAAGGAAUGUUAAACAUGUCAGAUAGUAACUGAAUUUUUGCAGGCAACUUUCUGUGAAAUUCUUUUGCAAUCUUCAGGGGAGCUACACUAAAGAUACAUUGAUAGAAUUUCUUAAAAUCUGAAAUUGAGGAAAUAGAGCAUGAACUUAUUUUCAUGUAAAUAUGUAAGAGGAGUGUUUAAUAACACAAGAAUGUAUUUUUACCAAGACUUCCAUGUUUUAGCCUUAACAAGUCUGACGACUUAAAACUCACGUGCCAAAUUUAAAGUACUAACUUUGACAACUAGGGGCUUUUUAUUCCAAAAACUAAAAAAGCCUUCUUAAACAAGCAAACAAAAAAACUCGAUAACCCCCAAACAACACACCCACACUCACCCCACUGUCAUUGCUACAAGAACAUUAGCAUCCUUUUCUUGAACUGGACAGGCUUACUUAAAGCUGUAGCAAGCGUUGUCUGUCUCAGUCAUCUCAACACCAACAACUGAUGAAAAGAAGCUGUAAUGUUUGCAUGAAAGCAAUUUCAGUCUGACUGGUUU